AGAAUCAACGCUGGCGGCGUGCCUAACACAUGCAAGUCGAACGAGAAAGUGGAGCAAUCCAUGAGUAAAGUGGCGACCGGGUGAGUAACACGUGACUAACCUACCUUCGAGUGGGGGAUAACCUCGGGAAACCGAGGCUAAUACCGCAUAACAUCGCAAGAUCAAAGCAGCAAUGCGCUUAAAGAGGGGGUCGCGGCUGAUUAGCUAGUUGGCGGGUAACGCCCACCAAGGCGAAGAUCGGUA
rnacentral:rRNA from 1 species